AAGAAUUCCAUUCCUCACAAUUCGCUGCCAAACAACCCAGAAUCACGUUACCAAAAGGACCAGAAUUGGUAUGGAAUAGUUCAAACAACUACCCUUAAUUCGAACAGAACUCACUACCUUCACUUACCAGACACACGAAGAGUUCAAAAAUCGUAUCACCACAAUUUUGGAAGAACAAUUUUGACAGAACAAGGAAAAAGAAAAGAACUUUUGUUGGGAAAAAAAACAAAGAAAAAAAAGUCAGAAACUGGAAAAAGGAAGAUAUUGUGGGAAAAAAACAAUUAAAAAAUAAAAAGUUUAAACCAAAUCCCACUACAUCCACAUCCAUAACCACCCAACUAACUCAGAAUCCCAC
rnacentral:lncRNA from 1 species